rnacentral:rRNA from 1 species
UCUCCUGGAAACGGGUGGUAAUGCCGGAUGCUCCGGUUGGAUGCAUGUCCUUCCGGGAAAGAUCCAUCGGUAUGGGAUGGGGUCGCGUCCUAUCAGCUUGAUGGCGGGGUAACGGCCCACCAUGGCUUCGACGGGUAGCCGGCCUGAGAGGGCGACCGGCCACAUUGGGACUGAGAUACGGCCCAGACUCCUACGGGAGGCAGCAGUGGGGAAUAUUGCACAAUGGGCGCAAGCCUGAUGCAGCGACGCCGCGUGCGGGAUGGAGGCCUUCGGGUUGUAAACCGCUUUUGAUCGGGAGCAAGCCCUUCGGGGUGAGUGUACCUUUCGAAUAAGCACCGGCUAACUACGUGCCAGCAGCCGCGGUAAUACGUAGGGUGCAAGCGUUAUCCGGAAUUAUUGGGCGUAAAGGGCUCGUAGGCGGUUCGUCGCGUCCGGUGUGAAAGCCCAUCGCUUAACGGUGGGUCUGCGCCGGGUACGGGCGGGCUGGAGUGCGGUAGGGGAGACUGGAAUUCCCGGUGUAACGGUGGAAUGUGUAGAUAUCGGGAAGAACACCA